rnacentral:rRNA from 1 species
UCGACCUACGGGGCGCAGCAGUGGGGGAUAUUGGACAAUGGGGGAAACCCUGAUCCAGCGAUGCCGCGUGAGGGAAGAAGGUUUUCGGAUUGUAAACCUCUGUGGAGGGGGACGAUAAUGACGGUACCCCUUUAGGAAGCCACGGCUAACUACGUGCCAGCAGCCGCGGUAAUACGUAGGUGGCAAGCGUUGUCCGGAAUUACUGGGUGUAAAGGGAGCGUAGGCGGGAAUGCAAGUUGAAUGGAUAAACGGU